rnacentral:lncRNA from 1 species
CGGGGAGGUGUCUCUCGCUUGGGUCUCCUGCUCGGGAUCGAUCUACCCUUAUCCCCUUUUCCAAAGCGGCGCAAACAAUUACCAGCACGUUCUCAGCGCUAGGUCUAAUUGGGUGAGUUUUUAUUGUAGAAAUGCGCCCCUGAAGAUGUGAGACGCGUAGGUGGGCCCCUGCGCCUUUCCACCGGCCUCCCACUGCCCGUGCUCACAGAAGAAACUGGGUCCUUAGACCCAGGCGGGACCCACUGAAACCCCGCGUUCAGUCAUUUCCCAGGGGGAUGCGGCCCCCCAGUGCCAACCUUCCAAAGUUCAGGUGAGUUCACGACGCUCGGAUCCUAGUGGGGUCCUCCUCGGUGUCAAGGAGCAAGAGAGGCCGUAGCAGCUGUGGGAAACAGCCACAGGGCCUGCGAGUCCAGACGGGUAGCUCCAGGCUAGUUGCACGCUUGCGGUUCCUGCCCCUUCCGUGUGCAAAGUAAGGAAGUCAGCAGGCGGCGAGCAAGCAAGACGGGCUGGCGCGCCGUCUUUCAGGAAGGUUUCCCGACCCGACCGCCGUCUUUCGGGAAGGUUUCCCGACUGGACCCUCUGUCCAGAGGAAGAAAGAUUUGGCCAGGGGAUCAGAAUCACGGUACCUACAGGUACUGGGAUCGAGACCCUACACAGGCUCCCGACGCCUCGGUCUCCCUUUCCUCUCGGGUUGCCACUCUAGUUCAGGAAGGGUCUUUGGGUCAGGGCACCGUGUUCCCAGGGGCCAGCGAUCCCCGGUGUCGUGCCCUCCCUACCAGGCUCAAGCUGGCUGCUCUUGGCUAGGUCGGGACGGGGCGCCCGGCGGCCGUGGCUCAGUCCCAAGCUACACCGGCCGCGUCUUCCAGGGCGCGCGGGCGUCGCGCAGCGAGCGGUCGUGGGGCAGCGCGGCGAAGGCCGAAUGGCGCAGCUGGCAACCGAUGAAGAGGACGACGAGCGCCACCGAGAGCAGCAGCAGGAAGAAGAGCAGCAGCAGUUGGGAAGAUGUGGCAAAACAGGACUUAUAUUCCUUAUGGCAACGAUGGGCUGAGCUGAGUGUCUGCAGCCUGCUUUAGGCAGGGCACGGCUGUGCAGUCUGUCAUCGUCCCUCGUCACUCCCAUCAAUGCUGGCACCAACCUCACUUCUAUUUAUCGCCUCAUCUGAUCGGCUGUUUCUUAUAGCAGAAACGUCUGCAAGGCAUGUGAAUUUGUAACCAUCACCCUCCUCACAGGGUUGCUGUGAGGAUCCGGUGGACUGAUGCAUGCAAAGCCCCGAGCACAGUGCCUGGUACACGGCAAAAGCUGAAUACUUCUGGCCAGCCCUAGGAAUAUUUCCUUGGGAGCAGAGGGCUCUUCUGGAAGCUUCUGGAAGAUGAAUGGCAUCUUCGCACACCUGCUCCGAACAGGCAUUGUUUGGGACUCAGCGCCCUCUGGUGGCUGCUCUCCCCACUCACACUUAGCCUCUUCCUUGGUUGGGGGGACACUUUGAGGCCUCAUUCCUGCCCCUCCCCUUCCUUUCACAUGGAGGAAAGUUCUAGAAUGGGGUGGGAGAAAACUUUCCACUUGUUCUGCAUUUCCUUUACCUCCUUCCUGACCUUAGGUCUGGGCACAGGAGGAGGGGCUUGGAGGUGGAGGCUGGAGCUUCUGGGGGUCCUGGCUGCAUGACUCUAAGGAGGGUGGUGCCUUCGUCCCCACCCAACCCCCACCGCAUCGGCCCAUUCUCCUCCCGAAGCAUCCCUGGGCCACAGGUUCCCAAGGCCACCUCCAGACUGGGCCCGCGAGUGGGGCGGCCCUGGUAGCGUAUCCACAGAAGUUAUUAUGAGGGAGGAGAAACUCCCAGGAGCCUGGAGAGAAUGGCUCGGCACAGCAGAUGCAGCCGUGGUGGCCAUGGAGCUGACCAGCCUCUUGGGAGUGAGCUGGCCACCUGAGCACGGUCCACUCAGCCCACACAAGCAGCAGCACCACCUCGCUGACAGGAGCUUCGUCAAUGCCUGCCGCCUCCUCCUUCCAUAACGAGGGACCACCUAGCAGGGACUUUCACUUUUAUUUCCACAGAGAACCUUGUGGUUAGAAGUCCAAUGGGUCUAGGCUGUGGGAAUCUUCUUAUUAACCACAAACAGAUGUCAAAAGGAUCUUUCCUAAUACUGUAGAUACUGCACUUGGCUCGUGUGGGAGUCCACUGUCUGUGGAAACAUUACUCGUCUAUUUUUCAGGUAUGGUCUAUACACAUAAAAGGCAGAGAUCUUAAAGGUACAGUUUGAUCCAUUUUGACAAAUGGAUACACCCCCUGUUUUUAUCAGAUGCUUCACUGAGCCCCCGUUUCAUGGUGUAAUUUAAGUGCCAUGACACCUGGAUACCCCCACCUUCUAUGAUCAGUGAUAUUCACAUGAAUCAGUUACAUACUGCUUGAGGCUGGCUGGCCUGACACUUGGCCAUUGUUUGAGACCUACAAGUAGGUAGGUGGGCUGUUGUCUGCCCCUAAACCAUGUCAGCUCAGGGGCAGUUCAGUUAUGGCUGAGCUUCGAGCUGCAUGCUGGGUGCCCCAGGAUGAAGCAGAGGGUCACCCAAUGACCAGGCUCUUUCUGUAGUUCCCUGUGGCCCAAGCUAGGAGAACAGAAACUUCAAUCAUGGAUGAGGCUGUUUCUAGGUGGCAAAUAUUUGUCAUAAGUAUCUCAUUAAUUACCUGGCAUAAAGUAAUUUGCUUUUCAUCUAAGAGUAACUGCUUAAAAUAGACUGGAAAACAACCCAAACAGUGAAAAUAAUAUAGUUGGUAAACUUCAGUGUAUAUCAGAGACCCUUGGUGCAGUUUUCCAAAAGCAGAUCCCCAGACCCCACUCCAGAGAUGCUGAUUCAUUAGGUCUGGGUGGGGUCUGGGAUCUGUAGUUUUAACAGCUAGUUCUGAGGUGGGGAACACUUUGAGAAACACGGCUGUCAGUUAGAUGCUGAGAACCUCCCACUGAGACUGGACAGGGCCAGUUAGAAGCAAGCGGCGGCAGACCCUAAACGCAGUGUGCAUCUGCUCAGUGGAUGUGCACCAUGGAAUGAAGUACAGCAUUGGAAUUCUGAACCAUCCUGCACUCAAGAGGCAUGAGGUUGGCUCAAGGCUGCCAUUGCUGUGGGAGGCAGAGGAAUGUCCCCUACUCCCAAGAUGUCCCCGUCCUGAUCCCUGAUGUUCUGCCUGUGGGAAACAUGACUGUUUCUCCUCAAAGGGGAACUGAGGUGGCAAAUAGAAUUCAGGUUGCUGAUCAGCUGCCCUUAACAGAAGGAGAUUAUUCUGGAUUGUCCUGGUGGAACCAAUUCAAUCACAUGAGUCCUUAAAAGUGGAGGAGGGGCCGGGCGCAGUGGCUCAUGCCUGUAAUCCCAACACUUUGGGAGGCUGAGAUGGGCGGAUCACAAGGUCAGGAGUUCGAGACCAGCCUGACCAACAUGGUAAAACCCCAUCUCUACUAAAAAAAUACAAAAAUUAGCUGGGCGUGGUGGCACACACCUGUGAUCCCAGCUACUCAGGAGGCUGAGGCAGGAGAAUCACUUGAACCCAGGAGGCAGAGGUUGCAGUGGGCCGAGAUUGUGCCGUUGCACUCCAGCCUGGGCAACAGAGUGAGACUCCAUCUCAAAAAAAAAAAAAAAAAUGGUGGAGGAGGAAGGCAGAAGAGUGGGGUCAGAGAUGGGACAAUGGAAGAUGAGGCAGGGCAAAUGGAGUGUGAGGGUGCCUGAUGCCUGCUGCCAGCUCUGAGGUGGUGGGGCUGUAUGCACAGACCAAGUGCUGGAGCUCAGGGCAGCCCAGCUGUGGCCAGCAAGGCAACAGGGACAGGCCUGCAGCCCCGUGGAAAUGCACUCUGCCGACAACUGAAUGAGCAAGGAGACUGAGCCUCCCUGGAGCCUCUGGAAAGGAGCACAGUGCCCUGACAACACUGUGGCCGUAGCCCAGUGAGACCCACAGAACCUGUGUUGUUUUAAAUCACCACGUGGGUGGAAAUCCAGUCAUUUACCUUCAUUGACUUCGUCAUUUUCUCUGUCCACCUGGGCUUUCAGGACGUAUCUUUUUAUGAGCCGUUUCAUGAUUUUCUGAAAUGCCAAGCAAGGAAGGGAUCAGACAGGGCUGGCCUAAUGCAGAGGCAGCCUGCGUGGUGUAGCAGGACCCCUCCCUCCCUUGAAGAGCCUCAGCAACCAUGGCGACCCUCCCAUGCCUGGCGCCUCACUCUGGAGGGGUGCCCUGCACAGUGCGGGUACCUGGCCAGCCUCUGUUUCGCCUCCCCCGCAGGAUGCAAUGUGCAACUGAACCUGGGAUGUAACAGGAAUACUUCUUAAUGGCAGGAAGCUGAGCCAAGCAGAGAGAGAGACAGAGAGAAAGGGUGGAGUGGGCAGUGGCACAAAUCUCUGCUCCAGGGGCCUUGGCCUGGCUCUGCCCUGCUCAGUCAAGUCAUCUUUCCUGGACCUCAGUUCUGUUUUAAGGAUGGAGGGCUGGGGAAGACUUAGCAGGCCUGCCUGGGUGGAGCUGCCUCCCUCAGAGGUCACAGUGAGCAGUGUGCCCUUCAUGAAGAGAUCCGCUGGGUACAGAAGUCAGGAUCAGGCUUGGAGGACAAGUCCACUGUACCUUGGAAAAUUCCUACCAGAAGCAGAAGCAGACACAGCCGGGCCUCUGGGGUUUUACAGAGAUACCACUUCCCACAGGCCUGACACUGUACUGCCGGAGUCACACUGGAGCAGGAUUUGGCCCUCAAGUUCCAUUUAUUAUGAAGAUACUGAAUUCGUUAAGCAGGCGAGGCAUGAAUAAACACUUAAGAGACACCAAGAAUAGAGCCAAGUGUAGGAAAGACUGCAGGAGGUGAACUUUGGAUUUUGCCAGCUAGUUGGUCCAGGGUUCCUGCGAAAUCACAGGAUUUAAAAAUACUCGGGUAGCCGAGACUUCUGAAUCUUCCAAGAGAUGAGCAGUGUGGAAGAGAGGAAGGGAUUUCCCUGCUCCUUGGUCCUCCCUUCUUGUGGCCUUCUGACCUGCUCACACCUGAGGACCAAGAGGACAGAGGCAGCAUUUUCCAGUUUGAAGAGACCUGUAGGGACCUGAUUCUGUUCCUAGCUUUGCUACAUAGGCUGAGGAAAAGCAUCUUGCAAAUAAAAAGUAAGUGAACUGGAUGCAAAGAGCUGCAGGAUUUACUCAUUAUCAUCAAUUAUGGUUCUUUCCAUCCCUUUAACCAUGAAGAGCUUGCCACAGAGAUGCUUCCUGGCCUGUGAUUCUAAGACUUCACCUGAACCCGAAAGGCUCUCUAGGAUAACACUGGGUUUAGCUCAUUCAGGCCAGCACUGCCCCUCCUCAGCCCUCGGGCUCAUGGGCCAACUGGCUGUGUGGUUUGAGUUGUGAUCUAAUUUCAGGCUGAAGAGUUAAUUGGCAGUUGCCUUCCUGCUGCUCCUUCUCAGAGAAGCCUGGGUCUUAUCCUACUAGCGGUUAAACUGCAGCGCUGAAUUUCUCAUGGACAUAGUCUAGUCAAUAAAGUAAGUUAUCUAAGUUAUAAAAAAUAUAUCCCUUUCAAGCUAGGUGCAGUGGCUCAUGCCCAUAAUCUCAGCACUUUGGGAGGCCAAGGUGGGUGGAUAACCUGAGGUCAGGAGUUCAAGACCAGCCUGGCUAAAAUGGCGAAACCCUGUCUCUGCUAAAAAUACAAAAAUUAGCUGGGCAUGGUGGUGUGUGCCUGUAAUCCCAGCUACUCGUGAGGCUGAGGCAGAGAGCAUUGCUUGAACCUGGGAGGCAGAGGUUGCAGUCAGCCAAGAUCAUGCCACUGCACUCCAGCCUGGGCAACAGAGCAAGACUCUAAUUCAAAAAAAAAA